GACGAACGCUGGCGGCGUGCUUAACACAUGCAAGUCGAGCGGUAAGGCCCUUUCGGGGGUACGACGAGCGGCGAACGGGUGAGUAACACGUGGGUGACCUGCCCUCCAGCUCUGGGAGUAAGCCUGGGAAACCGGGUACUAAUACCGGAUAUGACUCCAUGACGCAUGUUGUGGGGUGGAAAGCCUUGUGCGGCUGAGGAUGGGCCCGCGGCCUAUCAGCUUGUUGGUGGGGUGAUGGCCUACCAAGGCGACGACGGUAGCCGGCCUGAGAGGGCGACCGGCCACACUGGGACUGAGACACGGCCCAGACUCCUACGGGAGGCAGCAGUGGGGAAUCUUGCGCAAUGGGCGAAAGCCUGACGCAGCGACGCCGCGUGAGGGAUGACGGCC
rnacentral:rRNA from 1 species